UACAGAGGGUGCAAGCGUUGUUCGGAAUUAUUGGGCGUAAAGCGCGUGUAGGCGGCUUUGCAAGUCGGGUGUGAAAGCCCUCAGCUCAACUGAGGAAGUGCGCCCGAAACUGCAGAGCUUGAGUGCCGGAGAGGGUGGCGGAAUUCCCCAAGUAGAGGUGGAAAUUCGUAGAUAUGGGGAGGAACACCGGUGGCGAAGGCGGCCACCUGGACGGUAACUGACGCUGAGACGCGAAGCGUGGGGAGCAAACAGGG
rnacentral:rRNA from 1 species